rnacentral:lncRNA from 1 species
UCAAACAUGAAUAAACAGUAUUAUAAAGUUUUCAAAGUUUGUUCAUUGAUGAACAAAACUGAUCUUCAAGCAGAAACUCAGUUUUAAAGGUAGUUAAAGUUCUUUGCUCAGUGAACUUGUUUUUGUUUAUCUUGUACACAUGUAUUAAAUUAUUAUGCAGAUAGAAAUGAUACAAAUAUCAUAAUUGUUUGAAGUAAACCGUCAUUAAUAGACAGUACAUAUGUUUUUCUUAGGUGAAAUAUUUUGGGAAGAGGUUAGCUUCAGCAACCCGGAUAUAGAAAAUUGGACCAGAGGUACUUGAGAUACAAAUGUAGCUGCUGAUUAGAGGUGAGCUGUAGAAUGAGUUGGGAGGUUGACAAAUAAUCAAAUAUCUUAUGUUAGUACCAGAGUCAUACUACAGUUGUUAUCAAAGUGAGUUAUGGAAGGAGGUUGAGACUGACGAGCAGCUUACAGUUUAAAAUGCCAGAUUAAUAUUACAGUGAAUAUCGCAGUGAGCUGGUGAUGAGAUUGCCUAUUUAGAUCCUGUUACCCAUAAAGGUUGAUGUUGUUUACAGAUAAGUUUGUUACAGCUGAAGUGUGAUACUAGAGUAAGUGAUUUCCAUUAUAUGUGUUGAAAUACAUACAUUUUAUUAUGCUUACCUUAGCAAAAGGCUCAAACUGGGCCUCCGUGGCCAAGUGGUUAAUGUCGCUGACUUUAAAUCA